GCGAAAUCAAUAAAAGAAUGGAGACAUCGAAUUACCUUCGGCUUAGAGACAAUACCUCUGGACGUUUUGUUUAAAAACCCUGAAAUUUUUGUGUUUUAAGUCAUAAAUAAUCGCUUUUUUGGACUUUUAUUGACAUAUCAACGGUGUUUAGUCGUCUUACGGCAGUUGCAUCCUGUUGCUGGUCGCUUGCACAUGUUCGAACAGCUGAUAUCUUCACCACACUGUUCAAACACCGGCGUCACGCAAGCGUCCAUAAAUUUGCGGGCAGAGCAAAUGGCGACUCUAUACAUUAUUACUCUAUGGUGGCGGAACGUACAAGUUUGCUGAAAAGACUAAGCGUCUUCGAAACAACACCACGUCGGGACAUGCGCGCCAGCACGGACAACUACGUAUCACCCACAUUGUCACUCGCUUCCGAGACCAAUCUGCGCCUCGCCGGAUACCAGCCGGCAACCAGCGCGUGAAUUUUUUUUUGCAAACAACCUGGCCGUAGAGUGUAAGGUGAGAGGGUUCGAGUGCGGAAGGAAACAAAUAUUCAGUGUGAAAGGGGAAGAAUCCAUCCACGUGGGACGACCAUGACCGAGCUAUUAACGACUCGAUUUGAUUGAUUCAACAGAAAGUGGAAGCGAAGGCAGGCUCGCCGCAGGGUGCCAUCGGCCCUCCGCUAGCACAACACGCGAUAUGGGGCUUACCAACGCGGAACCGGGACAGACGCAGCCAUCAAAGCUUUAUACGAGUCUGCACAGCGUUUUCAUUCGACUCUGCCAGAAGCUUUCCCUAGCUCACGGAAACCAAUUACGCGACGCCUGCGGAAAACUAACUUCUGCCCGCCUGUAUGAGAGGAGGUUGUAAACGAACUCCGGAAGCCCCAGCGUUACGAAUCCAGCCCGCUUCCCGCAUCUGUCCGGCUAUUGAAUCCUACGUAAGUAUAUUUUACGCCUUGCCGCACUUUUACAGCCUCCAUUUAAGCAAUGCAGCGCCCGACUGAGCCUUCAUCCAAAGGGUGUUGAGGCCGACUCGAUCCCCUUGCCCAGCGUGCCAACGCAAAAGAGAGUGCCGAGCAGUCUUCAAUAUCUUCAAUUCUUGUUAUUUCGGGGCGCUUUUCAAACUUGAUCUGCGUACACCUGUUUUUGUAAUUCUGAAAUAUUUAACCA